CAUGAGUGAAUGUGCAUGGACUUACAAUUUCUAGGAAAGAGAAAGAAAAAUGUUUGUGUUUCCUUAUUAGCCUGCAUAAAAGAGCUCCUGAUAAAGAAGAAAGGGAUAAGACCAGUUGAGUAGAAUGCUUUUCUUCUCUGCCUUGGCUACUGAGCUGGUUUUGAAUCUCUUCUUAGUGAGGUAAGUAAAAAUGAAAUAAACUGGUUUUGUAAAGACCUUUCCAGAAGUCUUGGCCCACGUAAUGACACUUAGAGGUCUGGGUGGCUGUGUAGGGCAUAGAUAUGUGGAGGGUGCCAGAGAGCCUGCAUGGUGUCUGGAAAACCGUGGGUGCUUGGCAAAUACCUGGUGAACAAGCCAACCCUGGAAUAUUUGGAUUGUUGCUUUCAGGAGCUGCAGGAACUCAUGCCCUUGGCCUGGAUGUUGCUGGUCACAAUAGGCUCCAUUAACAUUGCCUGCAAACGUUUGGGGUACAUGAGGCAUAAUGUCUUAAGAAGGAACUUGUGCUAUGGAAGCAAAGAACAAAGGGAGACUCAUUCAAAAGGAAGAAACGUUACAUUUGAUUGUGGUAUGGUUGUGUUUUACAAUGUUGUACAGGUUGGGAUGCGGGAAAAGUUAAUGCCAAAGGGAAUGGGUCAGUUUUCAUAUUAUUGACUUCCCGUUUCAAUAUGUGACAUCUUGUACUUAUUUUUUAAUUUUUUAAAAGAUUUUAAUUAUUUAUUCAUGAGAAACAGAGAGAGAGAGGCAGAGACACAGAGGGAGAAGCAGGCUCCCUGUGGGGAGCCCGAUGUAGGACUCAAUCUCAGGACCCCAGGGUCACGACCUGAGCUGAAGGCAGACGCUCAACCACUGAGCCACCCGGGCGCCCCAAGUGACCUCUUUUAACAGUGAGCACCAUGUGUUUGGAAAAACAGCUCCCUCCGGGGUGGGGUAGGAGAGACUAUUUUCGUGGUGCUGGAUAGCUCCUCUAGUGACACAAGGGUCUGAUUUAUUGUCUAGCCUUAAACACUUGUCAGUGCACCCCAUGAAAAUCCAAGCCAAUUUAGUUUGAAGCAGAGCCCAGAAAAGUUCUUGCACAAUAUACAUUUAAGGGGAUUUCUUUGGCCAAAGACGGUUACAUGGCGAAUUCUGUUCUCAAAAACAUCCUUUCCUUCCAAGGUCAUGCGGUGGUGACUCCACUUGGCAGUUCCUCUACACUUCAAAAGAAAAUCCAAAGUGACACAAAAGCCCAGGCAAAGAAGUCAUAUCAUUUUCUCACAAAAUAAGAUGCAUAAAUAUCCUCAGGGCCUCAAUUAGAGAGAAGCUACAUUCUCAAAAUAGGAAACAUCCAAACCAAAGUUCCGGCGGCAAUGUAAACUCACUUCUGUGUGUACUGGCAUAUUAAACAUUGUACUAUAAAGUGUAUUAAAAUGGCCACACAAUAACAGCAUGUGAGAGACUAAUGAUGCUUCAAGUGCUUUCAUAGGUGAAUAUGUGGGUGAGAACCUUAUUUGGUUGUUUUUCUUUUUACAGGUCUGUUGGCCUUCCUUGCCUUUUUCACAUGCUUCCCUUCACUUUAUUUCUCUCUUCAUAUUCUCCCUGGAUCCAUCUGAGUUGCCUGGCCUGUGGUUCCUUGUCUUGCAGAGCCACAGAGCUGAGAAGCCACUGUGUUAGG
rnacentral:lncRNA from 12 species